rnacentral:rRNA from 1 species
AGCGAACGCUGGCGGCAGGCUUAACACAUGCAAGUCGAGCAGGCGUAGCAAUACGUCAGCGGCAGACGGGUGAGUAACGCGUGGGAACGUACCUUUUGGUUCGGAACAACACAGGGAAACUUGUGCUAAUACCGGAUAAGCCCUUACGGGGAAAGAUUUAUCGCCGAAAGAUCGGCCCGCGUCUGAUUAGCUAGUUGGUGAGGUAACGGCUCACCAAGGCGACGAUCAGUAGCUGGUCUGAGAGGAUGAUCAGCCACAUUGGGACUGAGACACGGCCCAAACUCCUACGGGAGGCAGCAGUGGGGAAUAUUGGACAAUGGGGGCAACCCUGAUCCAGCCAUGCCGCGUGAGUGAUGAAGGCCCUAGGGUUGUAAAGCUCUUUUGUGCGGGAAGAUAAUGACGGUACCGCAAGAAUAAGCCCCGGCUAACUUCGUGCCAGCAGCCGCGGUAAGGUAGAUGAGU